rnacentral:rRNA from 1 species
UACAGAGGGUGCGAGCGUUAAUCGGAAUUACUGGGCGUAAAGCGCGCGUAGGCGGCUUUGCAAGCCGGAUGUGAAAUCCCCGGGCUUAACCUGGGAACUGCAUUCGGGACUGCAUUGCUAGAGUAUGGGAGAGGGAAGUGGAAUUUCAGGUGUAGCGGUGAAAUGCGUAGAUAUCUGAAGGAACAUCAGUGGCGAAAAGCGACUUCCUGGACCAAUACUGACGCUCAUGUGCGAAAGCGUGGGGAGCAAACAGG